rnacentral:rRNA from 1 species
GUGCUGGGUACUGAUAAAUGUCCCAGCAGCUAUUGGCAAUACUAUGCGUGGUGUCACUCUUACCUUCCUGGGGGAGAAAAUUUUUAUACUGUGGGCCUUGCAGCUGCCUGCUGGGCUAUAUGGUUGGCUCGAAAUCGUGCAACUUUUGAGAAGAAAAUGAUCAAAACCCCUUUUGAGAUUGUUUUUUCCAUGUGUUCUUUCUUGCUGUAUUGGACAGGUCUGCAACAGGGAGAUGAUGCUACUAAACUACGGGCAGGCGCAGAGCAACUCAGGGUGGGUACCAUGCAGAUGAUGAAGCUCUGCAAGGCUGCCAGGCAACCAAUUACCGGUGAAUGA